CUGGGUAUAACAUUAAAAUAAAUUAAUUUCGCUGCCUGAUUCGUAAUGGUUAAAGGCAAACUGGGACUCUUUAUUUCUAGACUUCUCUUACUCUAAAAAACAGGUUUUCCUGUGACCUCCAGCUCAGGAAAGAUGAAUAGCUGUGUCAACUUACAGAAGAUGAAGAAUGUGGGGCCUGCUAUCUAUUUGGAGCUUGUUAAUAAGAGAAAAGAAGAAACCUGGUGUCGUCAUAUCGGGUCUCAAGGCACAUUGCAGUCUCAUAGUUAACUGGGACAUAGCUAUUCUGGCAUCAAAACAAACAGAAAUGAACACACAGAACCAAGAGGCCAGAAAUAAACCCAUGAACUUAUAAGCGUGGUACUUUGAAUCAAAGUCCCGAAAGUGCACACUGGAGAAGGGUAGGUCUGAGAGGAUGAAGUAAUAUCAAGGUCAGAGGAGGGCGUCUACGAACCAGAGAUGUCAGAAAAUUCUGCUUUUCCAUCUACCGGAUAUUUUGGAAAAAGUUUUAUUUUCCUUCUGGGUAGGAUAAAUCCAGUCUGACGACGAAUCCAGGAAGCGGUGAACAGAGCCAGAAGACGGUAGAUAGAAACUUGACUGAAGCUCCUGACACAAGCUGUGCUCAGAGGCAUGGUUACUUCGAAAAGUUCCAACUUCAAUUCUAUCUGUACAUUAGCCACUUUUAAUUGAGUUUUGGACACAGAAAAUGAAUUAUUAUAGUUUGCUGGGUUUGGGCAGUCACAUACUUUGAAUAAAUAAACUCGCUCGAAACUCAUUAAAGUUAGGUAAGUAAACACUAUUUUCUAUUAUAUAGACAAGGAUAUUAUAAUUAAGAAAAUGGGAUGUUUAAAGUCAUGGCUGAUGAGUAAAAAAGAAGAAGAUCGAACGUAAAUAGGAUGCCUGAAUUUUCCCUGAGAGUCACUUUCUUUAUUCAAGUCCUUAAUUAAUACAUUGAAGAGCAUGAAUAACCCCAGUCAGAUCUAGAAGUAGCCUAAGCAUUAUUUCUCCAUUUUAGAAAUUGGGAAAGACUUAAAAACAAAAGCAUUUGCCCAAGACUCACAGCAGUAGAUCUGUACUCUAUAAGCAGGCAGAAAGGAUGGUGCCCUGUGGUACAUCCGUUCUUAAGUAGAAAAAAAUCAGUGUACCACAGAUAUGUGAUUUAUUCCCUUACCACUGUUGUAAACAGUUCCAAGGGGUGAAAAACUUCCUUUUAGCUUAUAGUUUCAAAGGUUUCAGUAUAUAAUAGCGUGGAUGCCUUGCUUUGGGCUUGAAGCGAAACAAUGUCAUAGUAGUAAGAAUGCAGUAACUGGUAAGAGGCUACUCACCCCAAGGUGAAGCAGACAGCACAUCAACAAGGUAUGCUUCAAUGUUCAAUGUUGCCCGCCAUGAGGCCUUGUUUCCCAUCAUCACUUCACAGUAACAUCAAAAUAUGAGCUCGCCAGUAGGUUAGGCCAUGGCUUAGGCUGGAGCCUUCAUGAUUUAGUCACCUCUCCACUGUUGGCUAUAACAACUGGAGACCAACUAAACCUCUAACACAGAGGACUUUGAGAGGGGUCACUUUACAUACAAGCCUUAAAAAUGAUACGUUGUUAUGCCUGCUUAUAAAUGGGGAAAUGAGGAUAAAAAUGUUACGUUCUAUCAUCAAACUGCAAAAAAAAUAAUAAUAAUUUUAACCAUUGAAUUUUCCAAGUCUCUGAAUUUUCCAAAGCAGUCAGUUGGAUCUUGUUAGUUGAUAAUUGAACAUAUUCCCCUUUGUGUAGUCCACUGGCCAUUCAUGGAUCUGGACUGCAGAUUCUAGAGACCAAGGUAAAGGGAAAGCAUCCUGGGCAGCUGCCUCCCCUGAAGUGAUGAGCUCAGUCAUGGAGGUGCUACAGUAUGACUCCAUUAGGGCGAACCUUGGUGGAGACUGCACAGGUCACCCUUAAUUCCGACAUCAUAUCCUUCUUAUUAUAUUUUUAUGAUAUUCUUAAAUAUAGUAAAAGUGAACUCUCAUUAGUAUAUGUAUGUUUGCUUGGAAAGAAUAAACAUUUUAUAUAUAAAUUGAGAUCAGACAAUUUGAAUACGCCACUAUGAAAAAGUCUUAUGAAUACACAAAGACCACAAAAGCCUUUAAGACAGUGGUUCUUAACCUUCCUAAUGCUGCAGCCCUUUAAUAUACUUCUUCAUAUGGUGAUCCCCAACCAUAAAAUUCUUUUCAUUGUUAUUUCAUAACUGUAAUUUUGAUACUGUUAUGAAUCAUAAUGUAAAUAUCUGAUAUUCAGGAUAUGUUCUUAUUGUUGUAAGUUGACUUAAUGGGGUUGUGAACCACAAGUUGAAAAACAUGGAUUUCAGAGGUCCUAGCAGUAAUCACUUCAUGGUACGGUUUCACGUAAUAGCUUGAUAUGCCUCCAGCAGUUUUUUUGUUCUCUUGGGAUACCUGGUGUGACUUUCCAUUUUCCGACUGUUAAAAAGAAAAGUUAACAGCUUCAAGUUUUGAUUGCUAAUAUGAGAUGAAAUAUGUUAGUGUCAUCAGAAUGAGAUAGAAAUAUUGAAAAUAUUGUCUUUUCUUUGUGAUGGCAUAGUGAUAAAUGGAAAACCGAGUUUUAUUUAUAGACAUCACAUUCCAAGGCAUCCAUUUUGAGCACUCGUCUAUGACUGAUGGCAGCUUGCCUGAUUGCUCCAGAAAAGAAGAUAAAGACUGCUCUUCACUCAUUGGACAGCCUAUUGACUUGCACUGUUUCUGCAAGCACCACCUGGGUGAUGACGUACAGGUUUUAUUUUAUAGCCCUUGUGACUUCUGGUGCAAAUGGAUACCAAUUUACCGACUGGUUGGCUAGUGCAUGGUGUGUUUUGUUUCUAGUAAGCAAAUUGGGUCAUAAAAGGGAGUUGGCGGUAAUGAUUAGUUUUUAGCAUUAACAUAACGAGAGCAAAAUUUGAGAAUGGCAUUUGCCUGGUGCUUGUAGAAUCAACAUGGAAGCCAUGGCAAAACCAUGGCAGGUGUUCGAGAAAACUCCAGGAAAUAAAAAGUGUAUGCUAACAUAACUUUUGUGAGUUACAUUAUCAAGUACAGCUUCCUGGAGGGUCAUGUCCUCUCUGUUUCUACUGGCAUGGGAAAUUCAUAAACCAUCUAUCUAAUUGGAUACUUUGUUAAAUAAUGGUUUUUGAAUAUCUUACCGAGAUUGAAAAACCCUAAAAUAAAAUUUUUAAACCGACCGAGGGAAAAGUCCAUUCUUCUCACAGGGUGCGCUGUAUUUAUGCUGAGGGAAAUGAAACUUUUUUGAGGGGAUCCUCUUUGCUUGUUGCAUCCACUUUCUUCAAGUUUUACAGACCUGUGUCUCUAUGGAUUUUCUUAAUGUUUUCACCUCAUAUAGGCCCAAUGUAUGGACAUUUCAAGAUAAUUAUUGAAAAUAUCAUGGUUUUGUCUCUUUGAUGAAGGGAAAGAAAAAGGAAGAAGAGAGGGAGGUGGUAGUAAUUGGAGAGGAGGAAAAGAAAGAAGAGGAAAAGGAGGAGGAACAAGAGGUGGGAGAGGAAGAGGAAAGAGCAACCAGGAAAUUCCUUCUACUUGCUUUUGAGACUCUCAUUGACCAGGUGCUUUGCCACAUGGGCCAGGAUAACUGACUAGCUGGACCACAGUGCCCCAGGAUCUGCCUGUCUCUCUUUCUCAUCUUGCUAUUGAUGAAGUUGCAACUGCACAGGACUGUACUCAUCCUGUGGUUUUUUUUAAAGAUUUAUUUAUUUAUUUAUUUAUUUAUUUAUUUAUUUAUUUAUUUAAUGUAUGUGAGUACACUGUUGCUGUCUUCAGACACACCAGAAGAGGGCACUGGGACUCAUUACAGAUGGUUGUGAGCCACCGUGUGGUUGCUGAGAAUUGAACUCAGGACCUCUGGAAGAGCAGUCAAUGCUCUUAGCCACUGACCUAUCUUUCCAGCUCCCUCACCUUGGGUUCUUAACUGAAUUGUGGGAACUGAAACUCAGGUCGUCCAAGCCCAGUGGAAGAGAAUCUUCAAGACAUGCGAUAUCUCUGUUAAAAUGGAGGGAAUACAAGUGAUCUUUAUUCAAAUGACAUUUCUGCAAAGCAGUAUGUGGAAUUAUGAUUAGAGAACCUUAGAAAUCAUGGAAAUUAUCUGUUAACAUAGUAACAGAUUAUUAAAUAUUAUAUAUAUUAAAGAUUGGUUUUACUUUCAUUUGUUUAUAUGAGUGUGAGGCAUGGAUGUGACAGUGUUCAUGGGGUGCAGAAUAGGGCACUGAGUCUCCUAGAGCUGGAGUUAGGUGCUCCUGGGGGCUGCCUUAUGGGUUCUGGGAACUGAACUCAGGACUUCCGGAAGAGUAACAAAUACUUGUACCUGCUGAGAUGUGUCUCCAGACCCCUGUAAGCACAUACUAUUCCUGACAAACAAUUAGUCAAGCAGAAUGAAGAACCUAGAUGCAAUAUAAAUCUCCCAUAAGGAAGAUAGAGAGGAAUAGACAGUCUUCCAACAACGGAGGUGGGAGAAAACCUGACAACUGAGGAACAAAUGUUGAGUUCACUGAGAGGUUUUAAAGAGCUGAAAAGAAGGUGCUAUAAGGUGAAUAGACAGCAAGGAGAAUCAACCCCGAAGCUGAUAUCCACCUGAGGUAAAUCGAGAUGAAUCACGGCCUUAGGAGACAGUGAUUAGUAUUACAAUAUGAAAGUAUCAUGACCAUUCAUGUGUAGGCAAUGCAGAAUGAAACAGAAGGUUCUCCACGAUUCUAGAUUGAGCAUAAGGAUGAAAAGCAAAACAGUACCCUAGCAUCAAAAUAACUGAGAAUGUUCGUGCUAUUUUACAACUCUGGGUAGAGAAAGAAUUUUACACACACACACACACACACACACACACGGAAAUGUCAGUGACCUGAUGUUACAAUUUGAACCUGAAAUUACUCAUACAAAUUUCAUAUACAAGACAAAAAUAAGACCCAAGACAAACUAGGGCCUCGAGAACUGUGAUUGGUUGAGCCAUUUAGAACUGAUAUUCAAAGGGACCACACUCCUAUUACAAAUAACGCAGAGCAAAGGUAACUAGCUCACUUUCUCAGAUCCAUGCCUUACACCUGUAAGACGGCACUAUUUCAGUGACACUCUGCUUAACCAGAAGUACAUCUAGAUAGAGACCAGUGUCUACUUCUUGCUGCUGGAAUGUGUCGUGGUUCACUAGGACUGCUGUUGGAUCAGAGACUGGGUUGAAAUGGGUUGCUGUGUUAGAGGCUGUGGAGUUCAUGAUCCAUGUCCAUCUUUACUUCUUGCUAGUAGAUGGCCUUCUCCUCACACACAUGGUUUUCUUCUAUCAGGGCACUAAUCCCAUCUGGCACAGUUCUACCCCUAUAAUCUAGUAAUCUUCCAGCAUUUCUACAUGUUAAUUACAUCUUGUUAAUAUUUUUGGAUUUGAACACAUGUACUUGGUUGGCCUGGAUUGUAUGAUAGAGAUAGACAGGAAUAAAUACCCCACACCCAACUGCUGGGUCCUUGCUCUAUUCAUGAACAUAGUUUGCUUUCUGUUUCACUAUUUAUUUAUUUAGCCCAAGGAGAAGACUCUCAGGCCCAAACAGAUGACAUGGACCUCAGAUGGGAGGUGUUACCUUUCACUCCUGUAUUGAACUACUGUGUAAAUGACGAAGUUAUGCCACUGAUGGACUUUAUCACCCUGAAGCAGCCAGAGUUAGAGAUGUGACUGAGCAGAGGCUGCUCCCAGCUUCUGCUGAAUAUUCCAAACAUCUGGGGAGCACUAUAGCGCUUUGAUGCUUGGCACUCAGCCCAUAGACACUGUGAUUUAAUUGGGAUGGGUGCAGCCUGAAUACUAGCGUUUUUAAAGGCUCCCCAGGUUGUUCUAAUGCGCAGCAGCAAAGUUUGGAAACAGCUGUCAGAGUGUACUCAGUCAUUGGAAGAUUCCCAGACACGCUUGCCGAAGAGGUCACGUGAAGGUCACCGGCAAUGGACCGAUUUCUUCCCUUGUUAUUUGGCAGAAAGGGCAUUUCUUAUAGAGGUGAAACAUUCCCGAUAGCAUUCAAUACUAUUAAUCACCUUGACUCUCAAAUAAAAUAAAUCCAACUAGAAAAAUAGGAUCAACCGAACCUAAUACUCUAAUACUCUCUCCAGCACUGGAUUUGUGAAAGCGUCUUCCCCAGCGACUGCUGGAGUGUUUGGAAAAAAGCCUUUGCGUUUUGCAAAUUGAUUUUACUCUUGGCUGCAGUGUUUGCUUGUUUAAGCAUUAAUGACUUGAUUUGGAAAGAAAUAGCUUCCUGUAUGGCCUGGAUUAAGAAGAGUCAUCUUUGCUGCCGCCAGAAAUUGUGUACAAAUGACUGCAUGUAAACAGCGAAACCUGCGACUUUUUUUUUUUUUUUUUAACACUCAAACAGGCAAGGUGACACACAUGGCUUAAAGGCUAAAGGAAACAUGAGAACUGUUAUGCAGAGUUACAGUUGCAAGUGCUAAAUUUCCCUUGGGACUGUGGGGAAACUUCCUGUUCUUUGUAGAUUGGCCUAUUAUUGGAAUACGUUUGCCCACAGUUAAUCCUCAAAGUAAUUAAAUGGGAGGAAGCGAUUAAAUCACCAAGAAAAAAGUGACUUCUGCAUCUGAGGGACUCAGGCACAGGAAGAUUUUCAUUACUGUUUAGGAGUUAGGCUUGAACAUGAUUUACAGUCUUUCUUAAGCUAUACACCCACCCCACUACAUGCUCAUGUGCGUGUGGCAGGAGGGGCGGGGGAAAUUGUGUUGAAAUCUAAAAAAAAAACCAAAAAAAAAAAAAACCAAAAAAACCAAAACUCUAGUGUAAACCUGGGAAUGUAUUUAAAGUCUUAGAUUCCUUAGUAGAACUGUAGUAGGCGUUUAGUUAUUAUGUAGCACUCAAUUCCUUUAGAAGAUAUCCCCAUUUAUAAUAUACCUAUAAACAUACACACACACACACACACACACUCACAUGCAUAUGCAUGUGUGUACACACAAACAUUCUCCAAUUUUUUGUAAAUGGGAAAGUUGUUUGACCAAACUGACCUGCUGCCAAGUAGAUCCCAGAACCUUGACUCUUUUUGGAGGUGGGGGUAAAUUUUAAGCUUACGAUAUUACUUUCACUUCUAGUGGAUUUAAGAAGACUGGUCAUUACCUUAAUCGAAUAUCUCUCUGGACUAAGGUUUUGUCGAGGACCUCGUGUGUGCUGACAGGUGCUCUGUCGUUGAGGUGCUUCCUUAGUCUUCCGUUUUCCUUCUAUUUUGAGAGACAUUUUCUCUAAAUUACCCAGGCUGACCUUUGAUUUUUUUUCCAGUGUGAGCUUCUGUUUCGGCACCUCCCCCACCACACACACACACACACACACACACAUUUUUUGAAGAGUGCUUUCCAUUAUGUAAAUUGCUGACCCAAUAGAGUGAACUACACAUAACCCAGCAGUACUAGACUUUGAGUUGAAUGAUUUUCAGGGCUGACUUCUCCAAAAGGAAACCUCUUUGGAAAAGAGACAAUAGUCCACUUGGUGAGCAGAAGAGUGGACCAUGGCAAACCUCUUGGUAUGCACUAAUACUAAUUCUCUUGUCUUCCUGGGCACACAUGCUACCUUCAAAUCAUUCUUGCAUUUAGACAUGGCUAUUUGAAUUCAUGGCAAUAGAUAUGAGAGCAAGACUUACCUUCUGUCUGCCUUAGUUACAACAGCAGCAUCUAUAUGCAGAACCCAUUUUCUGUAUUUGGUAUAUGACUGCCUUCUCUGGCUAAAUACCACACAAGGGGUAACUUAGGAAGGAUGGGUUUAUUUGGCUCACGGUUUAAGGUGCUGUAGUCCUUGACGGGGAAGACCAUGGAUAUAACACAGCUGGUCACAUAGCAUCUUCAUUCCAGAAGCACAGUUGAUUUCCUCUGGGUGUUGAGGAAUGCUAUGGCCUUAAAAAGCUAAGAAGCAGCUGGAUGGAUGUAAAAGAGAAAAUACUAAGCCAGCAUUGUAUAAAGCCACUAAGAUCUUGUGUUUUCUAUCAGAAGUUAGGUGGCCUGGUACAUAAAUCUGGGAAUUCACAUGAAAUGAAUCACAAGAGCAAGUCACAGCUCAGAUACAAGGGCUGUGCAUUUGAUCCACAGAUACUGAAAUCUAGGAUUGCCACUUCAUUU